rnacentral:rRNA from 1 species
AGGAGCUGGGCCCGUUCCCCUUAGGAAAAAGAUUAUAUUAGAAUUUGAAUGAAACCUUUGGUUUAUAUAUUUGAUAAUGACAGUAUAUAUAUCGUGUCUUGAAUAAUAAAGGCCAGCAGUUGCGGUGAUACGUAAGAGACUAGUGUUAUUCAUCUUAAUUAGGUUUAAAGGGUACCCAGACGGUCAAUAUAGCUUAUCUAAUGUUAGUACUUGUCUAGAGUUUUAUGUAAGAGGGCAGUACUUGAGGAGGAGAGAUGAAAUUUCGUGAUACCAAAGGGACUCUGUAAAGGCGAAGGCAGCCCUCUAUGUAAAAACUGACGUUGAAGGACGAAGGCACAGAGAACAAACAGGAUUAGAUACCCAAGUAGUCUUUGCAGUAAAUGAUGAAUGCCAUAGGUUAGAUUGAUCAAUUAUAGUCUAGGGUUAGUCUAGCAAAGUAAUGCCCUAUGAUAUAAUUCAAAAUAUCUGGUCUAUAAAUGAAAGUGUAAGCAUUUCACCUCAAGAGUAAUGUGGCAAACGCAGGAACUGAA